ACACCACAGCUCCUAGUAGCCAGAUAUUUGCUGAUCAAGUCGGAACCUUCCAGUGUUCAAUUCAACCCCUAUCAAGAUGAACAACGCCAUCUUUGUCGUUCUCGCCGUCCUGGCUCUGAUCGCCGCUGCCAGUGCUACGUCAUUCUCCAGCUGUCUCGGCACAUUCAGCAACUGGUACAACGAUUGCAAAAGAAGCUUGGGCCAACAGAAGUGUGACUUGACCAUGAGUGGAUUUGCUCCAGCUUGCUAUUACAGCUAAGUUCUUCAUGCUUCAGGUCUCCUGAACACGUUACAGGCAGUAGACUUCAGAAUAAAAUAUGGCACAAGAUCUC
rnacentral:lncRNA from 1 species